rnacentral:tRNA from 1 species
AGGAGUUUAGGUUAAUCCAGACCAAAGACCUUCAAAGUCCUAAGCAAAUAGUAAAUAUUUAACUCCUG